UUAGGAACUGGGUCUGAAACUUCAGCAGUGACCCUGGAAGUCAGUCUUUUUGUGCCAUCGAAAUGCAUACCACACUUCUCCACAAUGGCUGUGAAGAAACUGGGCAGAGACAUGCAAAGACCAAGGGAAAAAAACAAAGAAACUGAGCAGAAAACCAGGUCCCACUAAGAAGGAGAAAUAAAUGAGGGACCCACGGCUGACCAUCAUGCUCUGAGAUUUCUAGCACCUGAAGUGGAAAGUGAAACAUGGUGAAUUAUGUGGCUCUUAUUAUUAGAAAGGAGCAAGUUGACUUCUGUUUUUCUUGGUACUUUAAAUCUCUCAAAUGAGUGCUUAUGCAGAGGAGAAUGAAGAGCAAGCAUAUCAACAUGCAUAAAUAAAUUAUUUGAAGUGGUCCUUCUGAAGAGCUGGAAUCACAGUCUUCACCAAAGCUUUGAAGAUUCUCUUAUUCUUGAGUCCUUAAAGAAAAUUAAAUUUACAAGAACUCCUGUCCCUCCUGGUUUGGAAAUCAGUUUAUUUUGGGUUAAAUUGUACUCCUCCACCAAAUUCCUAUUUUGAAGUGCUAAAGCUCAGGGCUUAGAAUGUGCCCUUAUUCAGAGAAGGGGAUUUUUACCAAGUUAAUCAAAUGAAAAUAAAAUCCUUAGUGUGGGCCUUAAUCAAAUAUGGCAGUGUCCUUAUAAGAAAAAGAAUUUAGACAUAGGCACAAACAGGUAAAAUGUCCGUUAAGAUGAAGCCAGAGACCAAAAUGAUGCUUCUAUAAGCCAAGGAAUGAAAGCCAAAGAUUGCCAGCAAACCAGCAGAAGUUAGAUAAGAGGCAUAGAACAGAUUCUCCCUGAUACCCCUCAGAAGGAAGCAAGCCUGCUGACACCUUGAUCUAGACAGCUGGGGUGCACACCUGUUAGACAACAAGUUUCUGUUGUUUCAGCCGCUCAGGUUGUGGUACUCUCUUAAGGAGUCACUAGCAAACUAAUACAUGUGUUGUUACUUUUUUUUCAGGCCAAGGAAUCCUCCAAAUCGGCUUCGGCUGGUGGCGAUGCUUUCUGAUCAGCCUGAACAGAGGAUUCUGGUGAUUUAAUUAAAGAUAAAAAUCACUGAGAGAACACGGUAAGGAUAAUUUCAAGAACGGUCCAUGACUAGGAACGUUUUCCCAGUACCCAACUUUCCCAGCAACGAUAUGGUCACAUCAGGCCUAAUUCUGCCAUAAAAAAGUUCGCAUUUCUACAAUAAAAACUCACAUGUUUUCUUUGGUCUUGUCCUACUUUACAUUGGUUCCCCUUUAUGACAAGAGUCCAGAGACCAGAAAGAACUGGCCCAGGACCAAAUGUAAAUAAAACUCAAAAUCUCUGUCGCUUACCUGAUCCCUAAUUAGGAGUGGUGAAGGCCUGCACCCUAGCUUUUGCCAGCACAGGUAACAGUGCUUCAUGGUCCCAGCAACUCCUUUUAUGAUUUGGCUGAAUUCUGCCAAGUAUUUGCUUGGUGUCACAUUUAUGAGCUUACUUAAGAAUCUUUUGUGCAAACUUUUGAAGACUUACUUUAUGGACUUGCUCCAGAACUAGAUUCCUGGGGCCCACUGCACAGUGUUUGAACGAGGCCAAAAGGUAAGCUUUGCCUUCUGGUUAUUUUCUGUCUUCUUUCCUGCCCCUCCUCCACCUACUGAGAUGUCGCCUUUCUUCCAGGGUUCCUGUUCUUCUAACAAACAAGUCAGCUACUUACCUAUAAGCAAAAUUCUCUUGAGCACCUACCAUUGACCUCCACUUUCUUGAGCAUGGACCUGAUCUCUAUGGGGAUGCUUACAGUUUCAGAACAUCAAUGAAUCAAUGAGUGUGUGUGUGUGUGUGUGUGUGUGUGUGUGUGUGUGUGUGUGUGUGUGAUCUGAAGGGAGAACUACUCUCUAUGGGGAUGCUUACAGUUUCAGAACAUCAAUGAAUCAAUGAGUGAGUUGUGUGUGUGUGUCUGUGUGUGUGUGUGUGAGAUCUGAAGGGAGAACUACUCCCCUGGCCAUGUAUUUACAGAAUACGAAUAUCCCAGAAUUGCAAGCAACCUUCUACAUGUCUGUUCCAACCUCUACUCUGUUAAUCUCUACCCCACUUUUGCCAGCUGGUCCUAUAGUUCUGAUGGCAUUCUCCCAACGGAAAAGUUUUCUCUGCCUUUCAUGUAACCUAUGAAAUCCCACAAAGUUCUCAUUGUUGGAAGUUCUUUCACCCCCAAGGUAAAACUUCUUUCUUAGCCCCAUUCCACUGUAUCUGCUCUUCCAGAUGCUCUUGCUCACAAGGCUCACAUGUACAAAAAAAUGAAAGAGAGGGCCAGCAGUCAUUCGGAUAUAAAACACUUCAUAGUCCUUAGUCAUUCAGACAGAAAACACUCCUGAUUCUUUUAUCAGAGGCACAGGUCGUCUUGGCCAAAGUACCCUCAAAUGUCUGUAGGACUUGUGGCAGGAUGUCAACUUCUCCUUUACUCCAGAUGACAAUGAAAUCCCCUGGCACAGGCCUGGCCUGGGUGGGCAGCUUCUACCCAGUCAUGUGGCCAUUAAUGGCAGAACGAGAGGGGAAAAAAAGGUCUAUCAUCUUCAUGAUAUAGAAUAAAAAUACCACCUGUAGAUCCAGAAGUUCUAGAGAUAGUGUCCACUUGGGAGGUUUUAGAAGAUGCAAGUUAGGAUCAGCAGGAAUGAAGGCAUGCCACACAGCAAGAGGGAAGACCUAGCAAAGAAGACAGACUCCCCUGGCAGCCCCAGGAGUGACACUGGAAAAGGGACCUUCAGAGACUGGCUUUUUGGUACCUGAGGGGUAUUUCUGCUUCCUCUUGUGAUUUAUUGACUAGGAGUGCUAUGUACUCCAUCUUCAGUUAUUUAAACUUAUGUUCCCAUGACAUUCUGAGAGAGUUCCUGAUAGGAGGUACCUGUUCCUUAAAUAUGUCAGAUGUGGCCAGGGAUGGCUGGGAGGGGAGCUGUGGGUGGGGCUAUGACAGCAAAGGUAGUGCUUUGUGAUUCCAGCCACAGAGGAAUUGUUGGGAAGGUCCACUGACCCAGGAGGAGGUGUCAUAGACACUGGGCCCCAGUCUAAAGACAGAAGAGUCACUGUUUUACGUACUUCCAUCACUUUGCAAAGUGUUUCACUGCUUCAUUGCUUCCUCGAACCUUAACAGAAUCAUUUCAUUUGAAAAAUUGGGUGUCCUAAGCUUUUUGAUAGAUGAGAGAACUGAGAAGUUAAACAGUUUCUUCCAAGCCACAUAGGGAGUUAAUAGUAGCAGGAAGAAUUUAAGCCCUGAUCCUUGAUCAUCUGUUUUUGCUUAGACAGGUGAAUACGGGGAGGUGUUUUAACCUCCUGAAUUGUCCCAGUUACAACCCUUCUGCUCAAUACCAUGUGGCUUGUGACCGAUGGGACCUGACGCAGGAUGAUGUGACCUCCUGGCUGUCGUCCAAGGUGCCUUACUUUCCCCAUCUCCACCCUGGCCCUUUCGAAAGACUGAACUAGGGUUCCAGUCACUGAAUAAUUUGGUCAGGAUAUUUUUAUAUUUUCUUCAUAAGAAUGAACAUAAGCUUGAUGUUAGAUAAAAGCAUCAAGUAUUCAUACAAGGGGAAAGGCAGUGUCCGGAAUAAGAGUUGAAUCCUCCUUGUUCUGUUUACAUGAGUAAGUUAUUUAACCACACAGGUUACGGGACCAGUCAGGAAUGCCUCCACCUGACUAAAUAUAUAUUAGCGCACGCUGGCAUCAAUCUCCAUCAACGUACUAUUAGCCAUUAUGAGAGCAUUACAACAUCAUCCUACUCACAAAUGUGACACAGAGCAGGGUGUCACAGACACCUCAGUGCACUGGGCCCUUAAGUCAAAAUGGAAAGUUAAAAACACCUUCUGCAGGCAGCCACUGGCAUUACUUCAUAUUUACAUUAGUUUGGCUAAUCUAGUCGAGUGAACUUUUUCCCCAAGAAAAUGUAAUAGGAAUAUUUUAUUUGAAAAUUUUAUGUGGUCAGCAGCUGUCUAAAGUCUUAAUUCCU
rnacentral:lncRNA from 1 species